rnacentral:rRNA from 1 species
CCAAUAGCGUAUAUUAAAGUUGUUGCAGUUAAAAAGCUCGUAGUUGAAUUUCGGGAUCAGUAUGUUGGUCGUGCUUCGGUACGUACUGUCAUUACUGGUUUCUACCUUCUGAAGAACCAUGAUGUCAUUAAUUUGGUGUCAUGGGGAAUCAGGACUGUUACUUUGAAAAAAUUAGAGUGUUUAAAGCAGGCUCGCGCUUGAAUACAUUAGCAUGGAAUAAUGAAAUAGGACGUUUGAUUCUAUUUUGUUGGUUUCUAGGAUCGACGUAAUGAUUAAUAGGGAUAGUUGGGGGCAUUAGUAUUCAAUUGUCAGAGGUGAAAUUCUUGGAUUUAUUGAAGACUAACUACUGCGAAAGCAUUUGCCAAGGAUGUUUUCAUUAAUCAAGAACGAAAGUUAGGGGAUCGAAGACGAUCAGAUACCGUCGUAGUCUUAACCAUAAACUAUGCCGACUAGGGAUCGGAUGAUGUUAUUUUUAAUAACUCAUUCGGCGCCUUAC